rnacentral:lncRNA from 7 species
GGAGCCCUGACCAGAUCUACCUUGGGAACCUGAGCUCCUGACCGGCUGGAACAGACUCCUUUUGGGAUGCCAGACAGGAAUAAGUGACAGCUAUUCAGGGCGAAAGGUUGAGAACUCACCAUGACGAGAUUAGCAGGAUCUUACUGUUCAGGAUGAAUGGACAAAAAGAAGUCAUUAAAAUCAACGUAGAUCUCUGCAAAUGGAUGUAACGGGAACACACAAAUCUAAUUUCAGAUACACCUUUUGCUGUGUUAACUGUUACCCCACAGAGAAAAUAUUCCAAGGUUAUCACAGAGAAACGUCUGGAAAUGUCAUCCUGGUGUUUGGCAGAGAUCAGAAAAGCAAGGAGGAUAACUGAGGAAGGAAUACAGACCAAAGCAGAAAAAAAAGAUGAGGUCACCAUAAAACCCCACAUCCUGUGCAUACGGUUCUGAUGUCCUGUCUGAAAAGCAAGGAGCAGAGCUGGAAACAGCAGAGCACCAAGAUGCAUGGCAGCAGCUCAGGGAACGACAGCCACACAAGGAAAGAUUAGGAUUACGCAUCUCAUAAUGCUGCAGAGAUACAGUAGAAGUCUAUAAAAUCAGGAGUGAUGUAAAGAAGGUGAUCAAGGAUAAACUGCUUGCUAUUUCUCACUGCACAGGAACUGGCAAGAUCCCAGCUGCAAUGGGCCAUGGGUGUAAAACCAACAAUAGGAAGAACUUCUCUGUAUAUGUACAUAAAUAUAUACUCACUGAAAACUGUAGGACUUGGUGCCACAAAAUGCUGCGGAAUAUAAAUGGGCUUAGAAUGAGAUUAGACAACUUCAUGAAGGACAGGAGCAUUUGUGGCUGUGAAGCACAAUCUUGUGCCUGCAAAUCUUCUUUGAGGAGCUGAGAAGCACCAUUGUAUUGCAGCCCCACUACAUUCCUGUCUGGUCCAAGCGACUGAACACACAUUCUUAGAUUUCUAUAAGCUGUCUAACAUUCUACAUGUAUAUAUUAUAAGAAAUAUUAAUUGUAACUUAUGGUUUCUGGUAUAUUCUUAGCCUUUGGUAGAGAAUGCAAAUGCUAUUUUAGGGCAUACUGUGAAGAAGGCACUUUGCCAAGACAAGCCUUUGGUGCAGACUGUCUUCUUUCAUCUGGUAUCGGGGCCUUCUGCAUUCCAGUAUUUCCACAAUUUUUAGUGUCAUCUACAAAGUUUAUGAUUAACAAUUCAUAGUUUCUUCUUUCAUCGCUGUUAAAACUUUUAAACUGUGCACGGCCAGGAACUGAUCCCUUCGGGCUCUCGAGUCCCACAGUGCUCAUUUACCAUUACUCUGCCAAACUGCCGUCAGAACUGUCAGAGAGCCACCAUCCAAUCCGUUCAAUUUUUAGCCUGUUUAUUUGUAUGUUUCUGAUUUAUUAAGGAGAGAGUUUGGCAUCAGUCUAUUAGAAGCCUUCCUGUUGGUGGUAUUAAUAGACUAUUACUUUUUUUAAUUGAACUUGUCAGCGAUUCAAAAAUAUGUCAUAUUAGCUCGGUAUUUUCCAUAGACUCAGUGGGGGUGAGUUAUAUUUUCCAGUUUUAAUUCUUCACUGAGUUGCUGCAUCACUCAUUCCGUUCUCUGGCUGUGGUGUCAGGGCACAGGCGCCUACCUGUUGCGUGCUUCCUCACCUGCUCAAACAACAUCAGUUCUGUAACUUCAUUCCCAAACUUACUGAAGAUGGAUGCCAAUUGUCUGGAAAGCUUCCUGUUGGCUCCCGUGUAGCUCUCAGAUGUAAACUGUCUAAACUACAGAUUUAAAAAUGGUGCUAGGCAAUGCCUUCUGUGAUCAACGGGAGUUAAUUACGUCUCGCCAUCAUUUAACGUGACAACAUCGUCUAUCUUUUCCUCUGAAGUCAGAGGAUGGUGAUUAAUAAAAAACUGUGCUUUCACAAUUUCCUCAUUUCUUGUAAUGGGCCAAUAUUACUGUUAGGAUUGUUUUCAUUCCAAAUACACUUACAAAAAAAAAAAAAAGAAAAGGUUUUAAAAAUUAAUUACGUUAGGCAUGGCUUUCUUGUCUCAUCCUGACUGAGUCGUCUUUUUAAAAAAUGAUGAAGAUUAGUCAGGAUCUUGGGUUCAUCUGUACUGAAUCUCAGAUUUGUUUGGCUUGUGAUUAUCUUCCAGCGAUGAAAAAUACUGCUCAACCCAACUGCAAUGAUGAUUUGAAAUAAAUAUGAAAUUG